UUUAUUUUCUUUUAAUUUUAGAUGUUUUGUUGGUAAUGCUAUAGUUGACUAUAGAUGAGUAAUAUCGAUUUAUGAAACUAUGUUAACAAAUUAAUAUGAGGUCUUUCUAAUUAUUUUGGAUGUACAGAGAAAUAAAAUAUUUGGCCCAAACAUUAUAUGGAUUUAAUUAUAAGAUAAUAAGGAUGGGUUAAUAAAUUCAUUUAUGGAUCAAGCCCAAUAAUUAACAGAAUACAAUUUAAUAUAUAAAUAUCUAAUCUGUUUAGGCCCAAACGUGUAACAGAAUUUAGUCCGGGAAAAAAACGUGUAAAGUGAACUACUUUUGUUUAACUAAAGAUUUUUUUUGUCUGUGUAAAAUUCGAGAACCUAUCUUCUAUUUUUUUUUCUAUUUUCUCUCUGUUCUUCGAUUACCUUCUAAUGUUCUACCGAAAUAAUCUACGAAUCAACUUUCUCACCAGGAAUUUUUUUUUUAUCAAGACAAAGAUGAGGUUUAAUCUAUUGAUCGGAGGAAAAUCAAAGAUAUACAAUUCCUGGUAGAUCAGACGGUGAAUUGAGAGAUGGAGUAUUAGAAAAGGUGUCACAGUUUUUUCAAACGACCAGAAGCAAUAUCAAUCUGGGAUAUUUGCAACAACGAUGUCAUUUAUCAAGUACAUCGUUUUUAAGAAAAGAUAAGUUUCUUGACCUUAUUGAAACCUAAAUUAAUGUUGGUUUUCCAAAAAUAUCCAAUCUGUUGUUCUUUGUACUGCCUUUUUGUAUCAAUUAAAUUAUAUUUUUCUUGCUUGAUCUUAUUUUUCCUUUGUUGUCUGGUAACUGAUAUUUGUUUUGUUCAGUUAAAGCUAAUAUAUGAUAAUAUAUAUAUAUAUAUAUAUAUAUAUAUAUAUAUAUAUAUAUAUAUAGGUAAUUCCCAAGACAUGAUUAAAGAAAACAGUGGAAAACAUAGCAUUGGAACAACUCAAAAGAAAACAAUUUCAGAGAACAAAGCAGUGGAGUUCGCUGCUUCUGAGCUUGCUGCUGCUGAGGUCGAUGUAGCUGAGUUCGCUGCUGAUGAGUUCGUUGGAGAUGAGCCCGCUGCUGCUUGUGGCCCUGGUGGUUCGACUACCACAGUUACACGGGAGGAAUUGGUGACGUUGGAGUUACUUAUGAUGGACAUCUUGUACUUAUGACUCGUCGCUCGAUACUUUCCAGCAGUUGCAGACAGUAAGAAAUUCUCAAUGAACCUCCAUUGUCCAACCUGAAGUUUUUUAACACGACCAUAGAAGAGUCUCUUGCAGUAUGAACUGAAGAGAGUCUCCACCAGAAUAAGAUGAAUGUUGUGUCCAUGAAUGAAGAACUUUCACUUCAACCUUCCAUGUUGUUUUGAAUGGUUUGACAUCGUUCAACAAAGUGAUCGGGUCCGAGGUUUCUCUAAAUAUAACAGAAAAGAAGGUGAUUUCAAAAACAAUUUUGAAUAGAAGCAAAUAUGAUAAAACAUAUUCAUGUUCUUUGUGUGAUUAUGAUAUUUGUAAUUUUAAAGAAUCAUUCAACUUAGAGCCAAGUUAUAUCUA